GACGAACGCUGGCGGCGUGCCUAAUACAUGCAAGUUGAGCGCUGAAGGUUGGUACUUGUACCAACUGGUUGAGCAGCGAACGGGUGAGUAACGCGUGGGGAAUCUGCCUUUGAGCGGGGGACAACAUUUGGAAACGAAUGCUAAUACCGCAUAAAAACUUUAAACACAAGUUUUAAGUUUGAAAGAUGCAAUUGCAUCACUCAAAGAUGAUCCCGCGUUGUAUUAGCUAGUUGGUGAGGUAAAGGCUCACCAAGGCGAUGAUACAUAGCCGACCUGAGAGGGUGAUCGGCCACAUUGGGACUGAGACACGGCCCAAACUCCUACGGGGGGCAGCAGGAGGGAAACUUCGGCAAUGGACGAAAGUCUGACCGAGCAACGCCGCGUGAGUGAAGAAGGUUUUCGGAUCGUAAAACUCUGUUGGUAGAGAAGAACGUUGGUGAGAGUGGAAAGCUCAUCAAGUGACGGUAACUACCCAGAAAGGGACGGCUAACUACGUG
rnacentral:rRNA from 1 species